UAUUGCUCAAGACUCGCAAUGGCUUGGAUCCUAGGGGAUGUAGACUGUCUCUUUCGAAUGGUGCAGCCUUUGACGAUAUCAUAUUUUCAUGGACAUAUGCCUUACGAGGUCGACCUGGAAAGCCUGAAGAGAGUGUACCACCAAGAAGUUUCUGUUAGUGUUCCAGAUGCGUCAGAUGCAGGACUUAAUUCUAUUGUUGAGAACAACGAAGUUGGAUACCCAGUGAGCUCAGUUCCAGGAGAUGAAAGGCGUCUUGUAACACAAGCAUGUUUCUGGAGGCAUGUUUCAGACUUUGUGAAACAUAAGAUGGUAUCGACUUCGAUUGAUCUAGAUGAUGGCAUCUCGAAUAGUGAAUCCUCAGAGAAAUUUGAUGCUCAGACAUCGUUCGAUUCUAGUGGUGACAUUGUAUGUGUAACUGAGAAGAUCAUGUCCGUUCUGGGAAAAACACUGGUUAGCACCAUAGCUCAACUGUCUUCCUACCAUGUAAAACAACUUGUACUGUCCUUGAAACAGAAAUUAGAGAAGAGAAUUCAGGUUCCUACCUUGUUAUGGUUGCACGGAUGUCGGGAAUCUCAGGCAAAUUUUAUUAAUCGAGCUAUCCCAGAUUCAAGUACAGAGAAUGAAGACAACAGCGACCUUGCAGUUUCUGUGAGGUUUUGGACACUUUGCGUUGAUCCUCAUUUAGUACUCGAAGCUUUCUUGCUAGAAAAUUUUGACAUAUCUGAAUGGUCAAAACUUAAACCAUUGGAAGAUUGGAGCAAUAUGUACAGAGAAGUAAAGGGGAAGAAUGAGCUCAAUGUGCCAUGCAAUCAAGAUGGUCUGAGUAGUAAUGAAGUUGCUUCACUUGCAAACCACGCUUCUAAUUCUUCGCAGAAAGCUGCAACUGCCAGUGAAAAUUCUGCUUUCCAGCUUGCUUACAAAUGACAAAGGACUUGGGUAUUUCUUCCAAAAUUUGCAUUUUUCUACCAAAAUACCAAACGAACAAAUUGUGAUUAGGCUCUAUUUCAUCUUCUUUUAUAGUUUCUGAGAUUGUGUUUGGUCGUCCGUCCUGUCAAAUCUAAUUUUGUCUUCUUUUUGAGUGUUGCUAGCUCGAGGCGUUAGAAUGUCUUUCAGCAUCUGCCAGCGGUCAUGGUGGUACGCAUCAGGCUAGCGGUCAAAUUAAUGGACAUUUGGGUUCUCCACGUGGUGUUCUUGAACUUUCUGAUCCUAAUUCGUCUAAUUGGGUAUCAAGCGGUGUUUCAUCUACUGUGGACACUCGUUUUAAACUGAGUCUAGCCGCCCAUUCCCUCUCAAAGCUAUUAAGGGAAGCAACUGCACUAUUAAGGAGUUCUGAAAUUGUUUUGUGUGAGAAACUCUCUGGAUUUCAACAUAAGCUACAAACAUCUUUGGAGCUAUUUUACCAGAGGUUUUCUUUAUCUUCAUCUUUCCUACGUAAUACGGUACGCAGUUUCCACUAAUAAUACUUGCACAUCAUAUUCCUUUUCUCACUUAAUCUAAUUUGACAACUCAUGUAUUUUUGACUGCCAUGCGUAAUCUGCUACUUUGUUUUCUAUCGGCAGAUGAUUAUGUCAGCAUACAACAGUGGGUUACUACUAUCCAUGGGAUACAAUGUAUUUCAGGAAAAUAGUUCCUCAGGACGCUCACUAAAUAAGUCCCAGACAAAUGAAGAUCUCCUCCAAUAUUCAGCUUUGUGUAACUUGAUUCUAAAAGCGACCGAAGAGAACUCGUUUAUAUUGUCACGUAUCAUUGCUGCAUGCAGUGUCACUUGCUUUCACUCAGUGCCAUGCUUAGAGGAAAACAAGGUGUCAUCUGGACCUGAGCCAAAGUUGUCUAAUGCUUUACGAUUUUACUUUCAGGGCAUUCUGCGAUCCUUUUCUAGUUUUGAGACCACUAUAAGGCUGUGCUUGAACUCCUCUUUGGAAGACCUGAAAACAAGACUCGCCGUUGUUCUUGAUUUAGUCGAAUAUUGCUCAAGACUCGCAAUGGCUUGGAUCCUGGGAGAUGUAGAUUGUCUCUUUCGAAUGGUGCAGCCUUUGACGAUAUCAUAUUUUCAUGGACAUAUGCCUUACGAGGUCGACCUGGAAAGCCUGAAGAGAGUGUACCACCAAGAAGUUUCUGUUAGUGUUCCAGAUGCGUCGAAUGCAGGACUUAAUUCUAUUGUUGAGAACAACGAAGUUGGAUACCCAGUGAACUCAAUUCCAGA
rnacentral:lncRNA from 1 species